UACGGAGGGUGCAAGCGUUAUCCGGAUUCACUGGGUUUAAAGGGUGCGUAGGUGGGCAGGUAAGUCAGUGGUGAAAUCUCCGGGCUUAACCCGGAAACUGCCAUUGAUACUAUUUGUCUUGAAUACCGUGGAGGUCAGCGGAAUAUGUCAUGUAGCGGUGAAAUGCUUAGAUAUGACAUAGAACACCAAUUGCGAAGGCAGCUUACUACGGGUGCAUUGACACUGAGGCACGAAAGCGUGGGGAUCAAACAGG
rnacentral:rRNA from 1 species